UACGGAGGGUGCAAGCGUUAUCCGGAUUCACUGGGUUUAAAGGGUGCGUAGGCGGCUUGAUAAGUCAUUGGUGAAAGCUCGCAGCUUAACUGCGAAACUGCCAUUGAAACUGUCAAGCUUGAAUGUGGUUGAAGUGGGGCGGAAUACAACAUGUAGCGGUGAAAUGCUUAGAUAUGACAUAGAACACCAAUUGCGAAGGCAGCUCGCUACACAUAUAUUGACUCUGAGGCACGAAAGCGUGGGGAUCAAACAGG
rnacentral:rRNA from 1 species